rnacentral:rRNA from 1 species
ACCACGUUGGUGUUGAAAAACCAUGGGAUGAGCUGUGGAUAGCGGAGAAAUUCCAAUCGAACUCGGAGAUAGCUGGUUCUCCUCGAAAUAGCUUUAGGGCUAGCGUCGGGUAAUUGAGUAGUGGAGGUAGAGCACUGAAUGGGCUAGGGGCUGACAACAGUUACUGAACCCUAUCAAACUCCGAAUGCCAUAUACUUGUACCCCGGCAGUCAGACUACGAAUGAUAAGAUCCGUGGUCAAAAGGGAAACAGCCCAGACCAUCAGCUAAGGUCCCAAAGUGUAAGUUAAGUGGGAAAGGAUGUGGGAUUUCUAAGACAACUAGGAUGUUGGCUUAGAAGCAGCCACUCAUUUAAAGAGUGCGUAAUAGCUCACUAGUCGAGAGAUCCUGCGCCGAAGAUGUAACGGGGCUCAAACUUACCACCGAAGCUAUGGAUGUGUACUAUGUACACGUGGUAGAGGAGCUUUCUGUACAGGUUGAAGUCAUACCGUAAGGAGUGGUGGACAGUACAGAAGUGAGAAUGCUGGCAUAAGUAGCGAAAAACAAGUGAGAAUCUUGUUGACCGAAUAUCUAAGGUUUCCUGGGGAAGGCUCGUCCUCCCAGGGUUAGUCGGGACCUAAGCCGAGGCCGAAAGGCGUAGGUGAUGGACAACUGGUUGAUAUUCCAGUACCACCAUAAUGCGUUUGACAAAUGGGAUGACGCAGGAGGAUAGGAUGUGCGCACUAUUGGAUGUGCGUCUAAGCACUUAGGGUGUUAAGUAGGCAAAUCCGCUUAACAUUAAGCCUGAGGUGUGAUGGGGAGCCUAUUUUGGCGAAGUAUCUGAUUCCACGCUGCCAAGAAAAGUCUCUAUGGAGCAAAAUGGUGCCCGUACCGCAAACCGACACAGGUAGAUGAGGAGAGAAUCCUAAGGUCGUCGGAAGAAUUAUUGCUAAGGAACUCGGCAAAUUGACCCCGUAACUUAGGGAGAAGGGGUGCCUACGAGAGUAGGCCGCAGUGAAUAGGCUCAAGCAACUGUUUAUCAAAAACACAGGUCUCUGCUAAAGCGUAAGCUGAUGUAUAGGGGCUGACGCCUGCCCGGUGCUGGAAGGUUAAGGGGAAUAGUUAGCGCAAGCGAAGCUAUGAACUUAAGCCCCAGUAAACGGCGGCCGUAACUAUAACGGUCCUAAGGUAGCGAAAUUCCUUGUCGGGUAAGUUCCGACCCGCACGAAUGGCGUAAUGAUUUGAGCACUGUCUCGGCAAUAAAUCCGGUGAAAUUGUAGUGCAAGUGAAGAUGCUUGCUACCCGCGGUUGGACGGAAAGACCCCGUAGAGCUUUACUGUAGCUUAGCAUUGAAUUUCGGUAUUGUCUGUACAGGAUAGGUGGGAGACUUAGAAGCGAGGGCGUCAGCUUUCGUGGAGUCGUCCUUGGGAUACCACCCUGACAGUACUGGAAUUCUAACUGGAGGCCAUGAAUCUGGUCACAGGACAUUGCUAGGUGGGCAGUUUGACUGGGGCGG